rnacentral:rRNA from 1 species
AUGAACGCUAGCGACAGGCUUAACACAUGCAAGUCGAGGGGCAGCACAGGUAGCAAUACCGGGUGGCGACCGGCGCACGGGUGAGUAACGCGUAUGCAACUUGCCUAUCAGAGGGGGAUAACCCGGCGAAAGUCGGACUAAUACCGCAUGAAGCAGGGGCCCCGCAUGGGGAUAUUUGCUAAAGAUUCAUCGCUGAUAGAUAGGCAUGCGUUCCAUUAGGCAGUUGGCGGGGUAACGGCCCACCAAACCGACGAUGGAUAGGGGUUCUGAGAGGAAGGUCCCCCACAUUGGUACUGAGACACGGACCAAACUCCUACGGGAGGCAGCAGUGAGGAAUAUUGGUCAAUGGCCGAGAGGCUGAACCAGCCAAGUCGCGUGAGGGAUGAAGGUUCUAUGGAUCGUAAACCUCUUUUAUAAGGGAAUAAAGUGCGGGACGUGUCCCGUUUUGUAUGUACCUUAUGAAUAAGGAUCGGCUAACUCCGUGCCAGCAGCCGCGGUAAUACGGAGGAUCCGAGCGUUAUCCGGAUUUAUUGGGUUUAAAGGGUGCGUAGGCGGCCUUUUAGGUCAGCGGUGAAAGUCUGUGGCUCAACCAUAGAAUUGCCGUUGAAACUGGGGGGCUUGAGUAUGUUUGAGGCAGGCGGAAUGCGUGGUGUAGCGGUGAAAUGCAUAGAUAUCACGCAGAACCCCGAUUGCGAAGGCAGCCUGCCAAGCCAUUACUGACGCUGAUGCACGAAAGCGUGGGGAUCAAACAGGAUUAGAUACCCUGGUAGUCCACGCAGUAAACGAUGAUCACUAGCUGUUUGCGAUACACUGUAAGCGGCACAGCGAAAGCGUUAAGUGAUCCACCUGGGGAGUACGCCGGCAACGGUGAAACUCAAAGGAAUUGACGGGGGCCCGCACAAGCGGAGGAACAUGUGGUUUAAUUCGAUGAUACGCGAGGAACCUUACCCGGGUUUGAACGCAUUUCGACCGCUCUGGAAACAGAGCCUCUAGCAAUAGCGAUUUGCGAGGUGCUGCAUGGUUGUCGUCAGCUCGUGCCGUGAGGUGUCGGCUUAAGUGCCAUAACGAGCGCAACCCUUGCCACUAGUUACUAACAGGUGAUGCUGAGGACUCUGGUGGGACUGCCAGCGUAAGCUGCGAGGAAGGCGGGGAUGACGUCAAAUCAGCACGGCCCUUACAUCCGGGGCGACACACGUGUUACAAUGGCGUGGACAAAGGGAGGCCACCUGGCGACAGGGAGCGAAUCCCCAAACCACGUCUCAGUUCGGAUCGGAGUCUGCAACCCGACUCCGUGAAGCUGGAUUCGCUAGUAAUCGCGCAUCAGCCAUGGCGCGGUGAAUACGUUCCCGGGCCUUGUACACACCGCCCGUCAAGCCAUGGGAGCCGGGGGUACCUGAAGUCCGUAACCGCGAGGAUCGGCCUAGGGUAAAACUGGUGACUGGGGCU